GCCAGCCAUCCCCUCCCCAUGCUGGUGACCGUCAGCAGGGGUGACAUCACUUGUCUGAUCUGGCCUGCACAACUGCAAACAUUCCCAGCCCAUCAGAAGCCAGAGGGAGGGUGACUGGGGCCCUGGACACCUUCAGGAACAGCUCUAUUGUUCCCUGCAAGUAGAGAGUCUGAUGGAAUCGACUGCAGAUCCACCUGAGCUGGGAGAGCAGUUUAACAUGUCUUGAAUAUUAGGAGUCCUGGACAUACCCUUUGGAGCUCUACAAGGAACUAGUGGCUAUGGACAUUGUGCCAGACAGGGAGGAAAUAAAGAAGAUUCCAUCCUACAGAGAUUGUGUCCUCUGGAAGCCUGCAGCCCAGUAAUGGAGGAGAUAAGGAGAGAAACUUGUAACUUACCUGCAUCUUGAAUGAUAAAUUUCUCAGUGUGUGGUGACUGUGGAAUCUCACAUUUUUCCUGGUGUGGCAGAUGCCUUCUGGAUGAUCUUCCAGCUCAUGUUCCCCUCUGAGGGAGAGGAUCUGGCAGCCAUGCUUGAGUUAUGGAUACCAAUCCUCUGUCACUGUUGGAGGUUGGAAAGAGGUAAACCC